rnacentral:rRNA from 1 species
AACCGGAUUAGAUACCCUGGUAGUCCACGCGUAAACGAUGUCGACUGGAGGUUGUUCCCUUGAGGAGUGGCUUCCCGGAGCUAACGCGUUAAGUCGACCGCCUGGGGAGUACGGCCGCAAGGUUAAAACUCAAAUGAAUUGACGGGGGCCCGCACAAGCGGUGGAGCAUGUGGUUUAAUUCGAUGCAACGCGAAGAACCUUACCUACUCUUGACAUCCAGCGAACUUAGCAGAGAUGCUUUGGUGCCUUCGGGAACGCUGAGACAGGUGCUGCAUGGCUGUCGUCAGCUCGUGUUGUGAAAUGUUGGGUUAAGUCCCGCAACGAGCGCAACCCUUAUCCUUUGUUGCCAGCGAUUCGGUCGGGAACUCAAAGGAGACUGCCGGUGAUAAACCGGAGGAAGGUGGGGAUGACGUCAAGUCAUCGUGGCCCUUACGAGUAGGGCUACACACGUGCUACAAUGGCGCAUACAAAGAGAAGCGACCUCGCGAGAGCAAGCGGACCUCACAAAGUGCGUCGUAGUCCGGAUCGGAGUCUGCAACUCGACUCCGUG